rnacentral:rRNA from 1 species
UACGGGGGGGGCAAGCGUUGUUCGGAAUUACUGGGCGUAAAGGGCUCGUAGGUGGUCAACUAAGUUGGACGUGAAAUCCCUCGGCUUAACCGGGGAACUGCGUCCGAUACUGGAUGACUUGAGUUCGGGAGAGGGAUGCGGAAUUCCAGGUGUAGCGGUGAAAUGCGUAGAUAUCUGGAGGAACACCGGUGGCGAAGGCGGCAUCCUGGACCGACACUGACGCUGAGGAGCGAAAGCCAGGGGAGCAAACGGG